rnacentral:rRNA from 1 species
UACGUAGGGCGCAAGCGUUGUCCGGAAUUAUUGGGCGUAAAGAGCUCGUAGGCGGUUUGUCGCGUCUGCUGUGAAAACUCGAGGCUCAACCUCGGGCUUGCAGUGGGUACGGGCAGACUAGAGUGCGGUAGGGGUGACUGGAAUUCCUGGUGUAGCGGUGAAAUGCGCAGAUAUCAGGAGGAACACCAAUUGCGAAGGCAGCUCGCUGGGACGUUACUGACGACUGGAGAACGCGAAAGCCGUGGGGAGCAAACAGG